rnacentral:rRNA from 1 species
UAACGCUAGCGGCCGCUUCAUACUGCAGGUCCAAGGGGCAGCAUAAAGUACUUGCUACUUUGAUGGCGACCGGCGAACGGGUGCGUAACGCGUAUGCAACUUACCUUUUACUAGAGAAUAGCCAAGAGAAAUUUUGAUUAAUGCUCUAUACUCUUUUUAACUCACAUGAGUUUUUAAGAAAAGCUCCGGCGGUAAAAGAUGGGCAUGCGUCCUAUUAGCUUGUAGGUGAGGUAACGGCUCACCUAAGCUCCGAUAGGUAGGGGUCCUGAGAGGGAGAUCACCCACACUGGUACUGAGACACGGACCAGACUUCUACGGAAGGCAGCAGUAAGGAAUAUUGGACAAUGGAGGAAACUCUGAUCCAGCGAUGCCGCGUGAAGGAAGACGGCCCUAUGGGUUGUAAACUUCUUUUAUACAGGAAGAAACCUUUCCACGUGUGGAAAGCUGACGGUACUGUAAGAAUAAGGAUCGGCUAACUCCGUGCCAGCAGCCGCGGUAAUACGGAGGAUCCAAGCGUUAUCCGGAAUUAUUGGGUUUAAAGGGUCCGCAGGCUGUUAUGUUAAGUCAGGGUGUGAAAUCCUACCGCUCAACGGUAGAACUGGCUUUGAUACUGGCAGACUUG